AGCUGCGCAUGCGCAGGUGGAACUGGUGUGAUUAGCCCUGCCGCAGUGACUGGAACACAGAGUGGAGUGGUCGCCGGAGAUGCCUGAAGGUCUGUUCUGAGGAGCGGCUAGCAGCGCGAUGGAGCGGGCCAGGGACCGCUUACACCUGAGACGGACCACGGAGCAGCACGUACCAGAGGUGGAAGUACAAGUCAAACGUAGAAGGACAGCCUCACUGAGCAACCAAGAGUGUCAGCUCUACCCAAGGCGAUCUCAGCAGCAGCAAGUACCUGUGUUGGAUUUCCAGGCGGAAUUGAGACAGGCAUUCUUAGCAGAGACACCAAGAGGUGGUUAAAGCAGUAUUGGAACAUCCAGGAAUGUUUUGGGUUCUCAGUGCAUUUCAUAUACUCUUGCUCCAUCUACUGUUUGAAGCUUCUGCCCCAAGCUUGCAUUGUUUGUAGGAGAACCUGCGUCAUACCUUUAUCUGUAGC